UACGAAGGGCGCUAGCGUUGUUCGGAUUUAUUGGGCGUAAAGCGCGUGUAGGCGGGGCGUUAAGUUGGGGGUGAAAUCCCGGAGCUCAUCUUCGGAACUGCCCUCAAAACUGGCGACCUGGACCCAAGUAGAGGCAAGUGGAAUUGGGAGUGUAGAGGUGAAAUUCGUAGAUAUUCGCAGGAACACCAGUGGCGAAGGCGACUUUCUGGCCUUGUGGUGACGCUGAGACGCGAAAGCGUGGGGAGCAAACAGG
rnacentral:rRNA from 1 species